CUCUCUCCCGCUUUCAUGGGGUUAGGUCCGGGCGGGGUUUUUCCACCUGCCCAGAGCCCAACCUUUUCAGAAACCAAACGGUUUUCCCCCGCGGGGACUUCCCCCCCGGUCGGUGGAUUCCCCAAACAAUGGGGCGGGGAGGGGGGGGCAACCAAAACUAAUUUUUUAUAGCCCCUCGCCGGCUAUGAGUAAGUGUGGUCCAACUCGGCGCCCCCCGGAGGGGUUGAGGAAAAGAAUUAACACUCGCACAGGCAGUCCUGCCAAAUUUCUAGAGGGCACAGAAUGCCGUCAAGGAUUCGGAAUUUCAGAAAUUUGUGCAAAUCAUAAUCUUUUAUCGCACAUCGCGGCCGCCAGUAUUGUGGCGGGCAUGCAGGUCCGAGCGUCAUUUCAUUCCUCGAACCCCUCCGGGGGGUCGGCGUUGGGGAUCGGCCCUGCCUCUUGGCGGUGGCCGUCUCCGAAAUACAGUGGCGGUCUCGCCGCAGCCUCUCCUGCGCAGUAGUUUGCACACUCGCAUCGGGAGCGCGGCGCGUCCACAGCCGUUAAACACCCAACUUUCUGAAAUGUGACCUCGGAUCAGGUAGGAAUACCCGCGAACUAGUUUUUUA
rnacentral:rRNA from 1 species